rnacentral:tRNA from 1 species
UCCGCCCUGGUGUAAUGGCAGCACGCAGGCCUUUGGUGCCUUGCGGUCCGGGUUCGAAUCCUGGGGGCGGAGCCA